ensembl:lncRNA
AAGCAAGCAUGGUAAAACAUAAAAUGGAUUAUUUCUUCUCUCAUGUUACCAAUAAAUGGAAAAAAAAAACUUUGGUGUGUUUGGCAGUGCUCCACUUCCUUUACUUCACAACUGUGUGAAAUGAGAGAGGUAUUUUGUAAUAAUGCAGGUAUACUACAUCUAAAAACAAAUACAGCAUUUUCUCUCCUUCACCUAGGAGAAAAUGAGAGCAAAGUUAAACUCACAUCUUCAGAGCAGUGCUGACAGAUCUUUGAACACAUGCAGACAGGAGAGUUGAUUGGGUCACUCGGGCUAAUGGUGCUACUUGUGGAGAUGAUUCAAAGUGCUCCAAGUCAGUAAUCACCUAAUUGGCCUCGGUGGACUUCAGAUCUCUGUUUCCCAUAACAAAGAUGAGGUGGUAUAUUGCUCCUCAGACAUGGAUGAGAUGCAUACUUCCAUCUGAGAAAUCAAGUCAGAACAGAAUAAGAUGCUUGAAGACUCCUGACAGGAAAAGACAAAAGAAGAUUAGAAACCUUGCAUGCAGCAGCAAAAACAGACUGUGAAUAUUGAAAGCAGGAUCCUGGAUUUUAAAUACAAGCUCAAUUUUCAGGUUUGGAUUUAACCUCUGCAUGUGAGCACAUCUGCCAGAUGAUCCAACCCACUGAUGCUACCUGCCCUCCUAAGCUGAUCUCCCUGGCUGAAGGGUCAGGAGGAGUACUGCCAACCUGGACAGGGUUUCUCAUCUUGAAGCAGAAGAUAGGAAGAGUACAUUCAAGUUAUGAAAUGCAGCAUCAGGGAGAAGAACAGUGCUGGGCCAAAAACCUUGCUUUGCCCCACCACUCAGCAUCGUGCUGCAGCAGGGAGAGGGCAGCAGUCCCUCUGGUACCCCUAUUCUCCAUGCAAAGAGCAGCAGACGGCGGUGAUCAGAUCCAGCCUUGCUGACCUUGCACCAACAUGGAUAUGGAGCAGCCACAUGAGUAGUCAACUUUUGAAUAAAUCACACUGCUCCUGCCACUCACAGUGCUGUCAAGUUACUUGUCAAAAUCAACGUGGUCAGGUGGGUCCAUUUCCAGCCCCUGUGCAGGCUACAUUACCUGCCGCUUUUGGAUGUGCUGUUAGUUCAGACAGGCUGCAUGAGAAAAGGGGCAUGAGAGCAUUUCUGGGCUUUCCACCACGCUAGUGAUUUGUUAGUGUUCUAGCCAUGCCAGUGCAUGCUGAAGUCUUUUGUCCCUCCUUUGAAAGAAAUCUCAUCGUCAUCAGACAGCCUAUAAAUUCCAUUAAUCUGAAAUAAUAUUUAAUGAUCAGCUACAAAAUCCCUUUGGUUAACAAACCAAACAUUGUGCUGCUUUGCAGGAGAAUGUAAGUGGUGUGAACAGUCACCUCCACAGCUCCUGUUCCCACUUGCUCUCCAGCUUUGGCAAGGGCAGGGAUAUGAAUUCCUUCACGUUCCCAUUCGCAGGGUGAUAACAGCACUAAUGACGGUGGUGUUGACAAGGUGGGGUCAUUUAUCAGUCUCCUGCCUGACCUUACUGGGAGCUCAGCUGCAGAUGACGCACCAGGUGUCACAGGGUGCUGUCGUCUGCCCCAGGGGGCUGCCAGCUCCGGACCCCUGCAGCCUCUGUGACGCUCUCCAGAGAGGCAGAGCUCUUCACGUGCGUCAGGCACAACAUUACAUGUUGGUCAUGGGUCACACGAAUGUGACGCAUAGUGCUAAAAGCCCUGAAGCUGUGCCUCCAGUGUCAUCGCAGCCUUCUCAAGUUUCCCCUGGUCUUCUCUUUCCUGGGGUGGGAAGUCCUCCUCCCAUGAGCAGCAGCAGGAAACUGAGCCCCCUCCUGCUGCUGUGUACACGAUCCUGUGCCUUGCAGAACAAAGGGAUAUGCUCCAGAAACAGCCUGCAGGGAUGUAGUGUAAAUUAAAGCAAAAGAACAACAACAACAACAAAAUGUAGAUGGAGCUACUAGUACAAUCAGCAUUACUUUCUUCUUCUGUUCAAAAAAUCCUGCUUUUCAUCUGUUUAUCGUUUUGUCAGAUGUGUGGAGGGGGAAGUUUUCCAAGCCAGGUGUCUCUCUUUGGCUGAAUCUUUUAUUUAAUUAUUUUGCAG